rnacentral:rRNA from 1 species
AUACGUAGGGGGCGAGCGUUGUCCGGAAUGAUUGGGCGUAAAGGGCGCGUAGGCGGCGUGGUAAGUCUGGAGUGAAAGUCCUGCUUUCAGGGUGGGAAUUGCUUUGGAUACUGCCGCGCUUGAGUGCAGGAGAGGUUAUCGGAAUUCACGGUGUAGCGGUGAAAUGCGUAGAGAUCGGGAGGAACGCCAGUGGCGAAGGCGGGUAACUGGACUGCAACUGACGCUGAGGCGCGAAAGUGUGGGGAGCAAACAGGAUUAGAUACCCUGGUAGUCCACACUGUAAACGAUGAAUGCUAGGUGUAAGAGGUAUCGACCCCUUUUGUGCCGGAGUCAACACAAUAAGCAUUCCGCCUGGGGAGUACGGCCGCAAGGUUGAAACUCAAAUGAAUUGACGGGG